UUCCGUAGGUGAACCUGCGGAAGGAUCAUUCACACGUAUCCACUUAUUUCACUGUGAACUUCCAUUUAUGAGCUUCUGUACGCGGUUGGGGAUAGCAUCUGCUUCCUCGUGCACUAGUUCGCGGGUAGUGGAUCAGCUUUGGACCGUCUUCCUUUGCUGUGAAGCUAUCGUUAUUUGUUGAAUUACACAUGUAUCUGUGUUUUGCUUUGGGUGGUUGACCACCUCUUGCAUCAAGCACAACUUUCAGCGACGGAUGUCUCGGCUCGAACAACGAUGAAGGGCGCAGCGAAGUGUGAUAAGCAUUGUGAAUUGCAGAAUUCCGUGAACCAAUAGGGAUUUGAACGUAUACUGCGCUUUCGGGAUAUCCCUGAAAGCAUGCCUGCUUCAGUGUCUACUGAUAUCCAUGCCACUGACGCAUUCCAAUCUUUGGUGCUGUCAUGUGUGCGUGUUUGUGUGUCAAGGAGCUUCGCGCCCUUGACGCAUUCAGUGCACAGGUGCUGUCCACAACAAGCAAUUUGUAAAACACUUCUGUGUCAUACGUUGCUUUGUUGCUGGUCACUUGCCUGGUACAAUUCAAAAUCAUUUGAUCUUAUUCAAGACAUGAAGUUAGGUCAGCAAACCCGCUGAAUUUAAGCAUAUCA
rnacentral:rRNA from 1 species